UACGUAGGAGGCGAGCGUUGUCCGGAGUACUGGGCGUAAAGCGCACGCAGGCGGUCCUAUUAGUCUGGGGUGACAGUUCCCGGCUUAACCGGAAAAGGACUCUGGAAACUGUAGGACUUGAGGGCUUCAGAGGGAUGUGGAAUUCCAGGUGGAGUGGUGAAAUGCGUAGAGAUCUGGAAGAACACCAAAGGCGAAGGCAGCAUCCUGGGAAGU
rnacentral:rRNA from 1 species